GAAGAAGGCCCUCUGGUCGUAAAGCCCUUUCGGCGGGGACGAUGGUGACGGUACCCGCAGAAGAAGCCCCGGCUAACUUCGUGCCAGCAGCCGCGGUAAUACGGAGGGGGCUAGCGUUGUUCGGAAUUACUGGGCGUAAAGCGCACGUAGGCGGAUUAGUCAGUCAGAGGUGAAAUCCCGGAGCUCAACUCCGGAACUGCCUUUGAUACUGCUAGUCUUGAGUUCGAGAGAGGUGAGUGGAAUUCCGAG
rnacentral:rRNA from 1 species